ACUGGAUUUCCCAAACAACUUUUUAAAUUAAACGAUUUACAUAAAUUUAUACAAAUUUAUCCUGUUGCAGGACACCAGAUACAUUGGAUAUAUGUUGUAAUCUAAAGGCCCAUGCGGCCAUGUAUGAUAUUAAUUAUGCACUAGACAUAUAUAUUUUGCAUACUUGUGUAAAACUAAGAAAUCUAAAGAUCACUUUCUAAUGGGACUUUUUAGAUAAGUUCUAGAUUAUUAUAAAUGAUAUAGAGCAAAUUAACCCACUUCAUGAACCAUAUAGAAUAAUAAC
rnacentral:lncRNA from 1 species